ensembl:lncRNA
GAACAUUUCUUUGAUGCAGAUAGCAACGAGGGCUACAUUGCAUGUGUAGCAGGAUGGGCCUUUAAUUAGUGCUGCAGUACCGGCCUAUCACUGUUGGGUGCGCUGCCUAUAAAGGUGGGUGGUUGUGCACUGGGAGCCAUCUUGCCUGGGAGCUCCUGGCUGCCCCGCCUCCUGUUAUCACUCCUGUUAUCACUCCUGUUAUCACCGCACCUGAUCGCCUCACCUGAUCGCCUUUUAGCUGGAUCGUGCAGCUCGCCGUUGUUUGUUGUAGGGCGUGCGAGUGUUUUCCUCCUCUACCUGUUGCAGCGGGGAGCGAUCAGCUGAUUGAUCGAGUUGCACUUGUAAUUGUGCUGUUCGGUACAAGUGAUCCCCUUCCUCCCCUUUGAUGUUCAUUCAACUCCUGACGGGUUGACGUGUGUGUGUGUGGGCGGUAUCUGCCAGCACGUUCCCCCCCCCUCUUCACGCUGCUGUUGGCCGGCUGCUGUUUUGUCCACUGGUUUAUAUAGCCAACACAUCCAUCCUACUCUGCAUCUCCUACUGUGCUGUACCUGCCACCGAGUAUGCUUAAAAACACACAGCGGGACGUCAGCAGUGGCAGCAGUAGGAGUGGAUUUAGGAGAAUAAGCUCUCACACCUCAAACAGCAGUGGACCACAGUUGGAGAGAGAAGUGUCUAAUGAGCACCAGCUGGAGGGAGACCAUGUUGCGAGGCCAUUUCUCUACUGAAACACAGCACGGACAAAGAACAGAUAUUCAUGAAAAUGAAGGCAACCUUCAACCACCGACAACAGCUGAUCCACGAUCCUGAGCAAUGCAGCACAGUUCUUGCACUGUUCCCAAGGUUCCUUGACACGAAAGGUCUUGCAGGACUUUGACCUGUUUUUUAGAGCUGAGACUUCUUCAAAACUUCUUGAGAAAUGGGGAACACUCCUGAAGGUUGAAGUAAUACAGCAAGCCAAAAACCUCAGCAAGACACCCCUUCUUGACUACCUCAUUCAGUCUGCAGAGGAGAACCCUGAUGAGGAUGAAGGUUGGGAUAGUGACAUGGCCUCACUUCUCCUGCUGGUCUACCUCCUGCCACCACCUCCAAGUGGAAAGAAGGGAGCUGUGAAAAUUAGUAUCAGGGAAGCUGUGGAUCGUGUCGUCAAGUUUCACAAGUCAUGUCGCAGCCUUCAGGAACACUCUGGUCCAGACCAGCGGAGGCAGCCCUACAUCCUGGCAGUUGGGACGGCAAGAAACAGCAUCCAUCAGUACUACAUUGCGAUGGAUAAUGGGUUCCUUCCCUGCAAGGCCAGGUCUUCCCUCUCAGCCUUUGAACUUUUCAAGGCACAUUAUGUGUUUGGUGUCUCCUAUGACCAGGCCUUAAACGGCAUGUUUACAUUUGUGCAGACCACCAUCUACAACAUUGACAUCGGGCUCAAGGACCUCAGGGCAAAGCUCCUCAACUGAACUUAUGAUGUUUCGAUGCUGUGUGUGUAAAUCCGCUUUUCACAGCAUUCAGCUGUUGGUCCGCCAUCUCAAACUUUCCCAUGCCUUUUUUCCUGGUAUGCAGUUUCAAUUGGUGUGUGACCAGAAUGGAUGCCGUCAUAGAUUUUGUAGUUUUUCAGGCUUCAGAAAACAUCUUCAGUGCAAGCAUAAUGCUGAAAUUCUAGAUCCAGCUGUUAAUGAACCAGUUACUCCUUCAGUUGUUGUACAUGAUCAGCGAACAGUAUUAACUUUAAUUUCAGAGCAACCAGUGAAUUCUCAAAGUUGUAUUGAGAACAGGCAACAUACCCAAGAAAUGUGUGCAUCCCUUAUUGCAAAACUCCCAAGCAGUGGUGUGGCUACUAAUGUUGUAAAGACUGUUGUUGCAAAUAUGGAGGAGCUUGUAGAGGAAUUGCAUUCAACUGUUAAAGAAGAUGUGAUAAAAUUACUACCCGAUGAGGGCAUGAGAGCAAAAUUUGAUGAAUACUUUGACAGUCUUGAAAAUCCAUUUAGCAAACUAAACACUGAGACAAAAUUGAAAAAAUAUUUCAGUGAGAAAUGUGGUCUUGUAGAACCUGUUGAGGUCGCUCUAGGAGUGAGGUAUGACACCAGAAGGAAUCGAGACACUGGCACAUACGAACAAGUUCCUGUUACAGACAAAUUUGUGUACAUUCCUCUAUUGGAAACACUGAAAUUGAUAUUCAACAACAAGGAGAUUUGUGAUCAUAUUUUGCAGCCUUGUGAGAAAACAGGCGUUUAUAAAGAUUUCUGUGAUGGGAACUAUUUUAAAGAUCCCCCCCCUUUUCUCUGAAAAACCAAACUCUCUCCAAAUACAGAUAUUCUAUGACGAUUUUGAAAUGGCAAACCCACUUGGAUCCAAGCAUGGUAUCCAUAAGAUUGGAAGUAUAUACUUUGUUUUACGAAAUCUGUCUCCAAAGAUAAACUCGGCUCUAAUGAAUAUUCAUCUUCUGGCACUUUUUCACACUGCUGAUAUAAAUAAGUAUGGAUUUCAUACCAUCUUGGAGCCUCUUGUAUAAGAUCUGAAAGUCCUUGAGUGCACAGGAGUGGAACUUCCUUUCUCUGAUGAACCAGUUCGUGGCACAAUUGCUCAAGUAACUGGGGACAAUUUGGGAUUGCACACACUACUUGGGUAUGUUGAAUCAUUCAAUGCCAACUAUUUUUGCCAUUAUUGUCUGAUAGACUGUGCAGACAGUUUUUAGUGAUGAUGAUCCAAGAAUAACGUUCCGCAAUAAAGCACUCCAUGCUCAGCAUUGAAAUGACCUCAUGGCAGAUCCUACACUGGCUUCAACAUUUGGAGUGAAGCGAACGUGUUUACUCAGGCCCCGUUCACAUGAAGCCGAAACGGGCGAAACCGUUAC